rnacentral:rRNA from 1 species
GACGAACGCUGGCGGCGUGCCUAACACAUGCAAGUCGAACGGAAAGGCCUCUUUCGGGGGGUACCCGAGUGGCGAACGGGUGGGUCAUACGCUAGUAACCUGCCUUUCUCUCUGGGAUAGCUUCUGGUACCUGGGGCUAUUACCGGACCGGAGCUCUUUCUGCUUUGUGGGGGCUGGCAUGUUUUGGCGGUUUUGGUUGGGUUCGCGGCUUAUCAGCUUGUUGGUGGGGUAUUGGCUUACCAAGGCUUUGGCGGGUAGCCGGCCUGAGAGGGUGACCGGCCACAGUGAGACUGAGAUACGGCCCAGACUCCUACGGGAGGCAGCAGUAGGGAAUAGUGCACAAUGGGUGGGAGCCUGAUGCAGCAACGCCGUGUGCGGGAUAACGGCCUUCGGGUUGUAAACCGCAUUCGCUCAUGACGAAGCUUUGUGUGACGGUAGUGGGUAAAGAAGCACCGGCUAACUACGUG